rnacentral:rRNA from 1 species
UACGUAGGGCGCAAGCGUUGUCCGGAAUUACUGGGCGUAAAGAGUGUGUAGGCGGUGCUCUAAGUUCGGUGUGAAAUCUCCUGGCUCAACUGGGAGGGUGCGCCGGAAACUGGAGUGCUUGAGCGUGGGAGAGGAAAGCGGAAUUCCUGGUGUAGCAGUGAAAUGCGUAGAUAUCGUAAGGAAGACCAGUGGCGAAGGCGAGUCUCUGGACAGUUGCUGACACUGAGGCACGAAGGCUAGGGGAGCAAACGGG